CCUACGGGGGGCUGCAGUAAGGAAUAUUGCUCAAUGGGGGAAACCCUGAAGCAGCAACGCCGCGUGAAGGAUGAAAUACUUUUGUAUGUAAACUCCUGUAAGAUGGGAAAAAUAUUCUCCUCGGGAGAAUUGAUUGUACCAUCAGAGUAAGCCCCGGCUAACUACGUGCCAGCAGCCGCGGUAAUACGUAGGGGGCAAGCGUUGUCCGGAUUCACUGGGUGUAAAGGGUGCUCAGGCGGACUUGUAAGUCAGAGGUGAAACUCCGAAGCUUAACUUCGGAACUGCCUUUGAUACUGCAAGUCUCGAGUACGGGAGAGGGUAAUGGAAUAACAGGUGUAGCAGUGAAAUGCGUAGAUAUCUGUUAGAACACCAAUGGCGAAGGCAGUUGCCUGGCCCGUUACUGACGCUAAAGCACGAAAGUGUGGGUAGCAAACAGGAUUAGAUACCCUGGUAGUC
rnacentral:rRNA from 1 species